AAGUCCUCCAAGAGCAUCUAACAACCCUGAGUGGUUAUGUAUGAUACGUUGGAAAAAUCAGACUAGCUCUCUGCUGCCACCUGGUGUUUAAUGUAUGACAACAGUUUGUGACAGAACUGCUGGCCCAUGUUGACUCCAAUCCUUCCCACAGUUGUGUCAAUUGGCUGGAUUCCUUUGGGGGGGGGGGGUCCAUUCUCUGAUACAAACAGGAAACUGUUGAGCGUGAAAAACUAGCGACGUUGCAGUUUUUGACACAAAACCGGUGCGCCUGGCAUCUACUACCAUUCUCUGUUCAAAGACACUUACAUCUUUUGUCUUGUCCAUUCACCCUCUGAAUGGCACACAUACACAAUCCAUGUCUCAAUUAUCUCAAGGCUUUAAAAAUCCUUCUUUACCCCGCCAUGUGGACCCUCCAUGCCCAGGGACUUGACCAGACACCCCGAUGAUGGCUGAAACUGGUCAAAGGUGUGCUUCCCAUUAUACCUGCCGUUCCACUCUGACCUAUGGGGUUCAGAGGUCACAGGGCUAGGGUCAGAUGAGGGGUCAAAGGGUCAUGUGACUCGUUGUUAAGGAUUAUGUUUAUAAUAUUAUAAUAUGAUAUUAUGUUAGCUGCAUGAUGGUCUGCAUGAUGGUCUAGCAGCACUUCUCCAAGGUCACGCAACCUUUCAACUCAGUCCCAGAGACACGCUACCCUUCAACUCAGUCCCAAAGACACGCUACCCUUCAACUCAGUCCAAAGACAAGCUACCCUCCAACUCAGCCAGAACACGCUACCCUUCAACUCAGCCAAAGACACGCUACCCUUCAACUCAGUCCCAAAGACACGCUACCCUUCAACUCAGUCCCAAAGACACGCUACUCUUCAACUCAGUCCCAAAGACAAGCUACCCUCCAACUCAGUCCCAGAGACACGCUACCCUUCAACUCAGUCCCAAAGACACGCUACCCUCCAACUCCAGUCCAGAGACACGCUACCCUUCAACUCAGUCCCAAAGACACGCUACCCUUCAACUCAGUCCCAAAGACACGCUACCCUUCAACUCAGUCCCAAGGUCACGCUACUCAACCCUCCAACUCAGUCCCAAGGACUCGCUACUCAACCCCCAACUCAGUCCCAAAGACACGCUACUCAACCCUCCAACUCAGUCCCAAAGACACGCUACCUUCAACUCAGUCCCAAGUCCACGCUACUCAACCCUCCAACUUAGUCCCAAAGACACGCUACCCUUCAACUCAGUCCCAAAGACACGCUACCCUCCAACUCCAGUCCCAAAGACACGCUACCCUUCAACUCAGUCCAAAACACGCUACCCUCCAACUCAGUCCCAAAGACCACGUAACCUCCAACUCAGUCCCAGAGGACUCGCUACUCAACCUCCAACUCCAGUCCAAAGACAUGCUACCCCCCCAACCUCAGUCCCAAAGACACGCUACCCUUCAACUCAGUCCCAAGAACACGCUACCCUUCAACUCAGUCCAAAACACGCUACCCUCAACUCAAUCCCGAAACGGUUCACCUACCUUCAACUCAGUCCCAAGGACACGCUACCCUCCAGCUCAGUCCCAAGGACACGCUACCCUCCAACUCAGUCCCAAGGACACGCUACCCUCCAACUCAGUCCCAAGGAAAAGCCUAGCAACGUUGCAGUUCUUGACACAAACCGGUGCGCUGGGCAUCUACUACCAUUCUCUGCUCAAAGACACUUAAAUCUUUUGUCUUGCCCAUUCCGCCCUCUGAAUGGCACCCAGACACAAUCCAUGUCUCAAUUAUCUCAAGGCUUAAAAAUCCUUCUUCAACCAGGUCUCCUCCCCUUCAUCUACACUGAUUUGAAGUGGAUUUAA
rnacentral:lncRNA from 1 species